rnacentral:rRNA from 1 species
AUUGAACGCUGGCGGCAUGCCUUACACAUGCAAGUCGAACGGCAGCACGGGAGCAAUCCUGGUGGCGAGUGGCGAACGGGUGAGUAAAGUAUCGGAACGUGCCCAGUCGUGGGGGAUAACGUAGCGAAAGUUACGCUAAUACCGCAUACGAUCUAUGGAUGAAAGCGGGGGAUCGCAAGACCUCGCGCGAUUGGAGCGGCCGAUAGCAGAUGAGGUAGUUGGUGGGGUAAAGGCUCACCAAGCCGACGAUCUGUAGCUGGUCUGAGAGGACGACCAGCCACACUGGGACUGAGACACGGCCCAGACCCCUACGGGAGGCAGCAGUGGGGAAUUUUGGACAAUGGGCGAAAGCCUGAUCCAGCCAUGCCGCGUGCAGGAUGAAGGCCUUCGGGUUGUAAACUGCUUUUGUACGGAACGAAAAGGUUUGGCCUAAUAAGCUGAGCUCAUGACGGUACCGUAAGAAUAAGCACCGGCUAACUACGUGCCAGCAGCCGCAGUAA